CGGGGUACAUAUUAGAUUCGGAGUUUAAGGAAUUUGAAAAGUCCUUUUGAUUAUAAUUUUUUUUUUUUGUAUUUGAUCAAGACUUUUUAAAAAAGAUGUAAUUGCACUAUUGGUCACCCUAUUUUUAUCAAACUUACAAAAAUAAUCUUCCUAUAUUUUACAUUUCUUGCAAUUUUGAAAUAACUAAUUCAUUGGAUAUAUCCGUGAUCAAAUAGGGGAUUCAUUCACAACAAAAAAAUAACAGAUGAAAAUAUGACUAUGAAACAUGGAUAAUGGAGGAUACUUAUGAGCCAUUGCACCUCUUCGUGGAUGCUAUAAAUAGUAAAUUGUGUGAUGUCAAUGGGUCAUUGGUAAACAAAAUGUAGAACGGUUUUCUAAGAAAGUUUCAGAGCAAUCGGAUCAAAUAGGUUGAAAACUCGAUUUUCAACCGGGACACGAUGAAAACACCUAACAAUGACAUGAAGCACGAUGAGUUGGGUAUGAUGGUAAUUAAGUAUAGUUCUUAAAUUAACCAUUCUUGUCUUUAAUAAAUUCAGUUUUUGUGUUAAUACAAUUCAAAUUAUAUAAUCUGAACAUGUUUUCCUCUAAAUUCUUGGUACAAGAGGAGUUAUAAGGGCGGUUCUUAUUUUAUAAUUCGAAAAAAAAAGGAAAAUGCCCUACUAUUU
rnacentral:lncRNA from 1 species